rnacentral:rRNA from 1 species
GACGAACGCUGGCGGCGUGCUUAACACAUGCAAGUCGAACGGAAAGGCCCUGCUUUUGUGGGGUGCUCGAGUGGCGAACGGGUGAGUAACACGUGAGUAACCUGCCCUUGACUUUGGGAUAACUUCAGGAAACUGGGGCUAAUACCGGAUAGGAGCUCCUGCUGCAUGGUGGGGGUUGGAAAGUUUCGGCGGUUGGGGAUGGACUCGCGGCUUAUCAGCUUGUUGGUGGGGUAGUGGCUUACCAAGGCUUUGACGGGUAGCCGGCCUGAGAGGGUGACCGGCGCGAGGAGCGCGCGGCAGCCGGCCAACACCAGGGGGCGGGCAGUGGUGGGGAAUGAACCACGGGGGGGGGAAGCGGGGUGUAGCGACGGCGUGAGGGUGAGCACGCCCCGGGGGUGGUAUACCGCGGGGGCGGGUGGCGAGGGGUGGGGGGCGGUAAGGGGUAAAGAAGCACGGGUUAGCGACGGGCGAGCGGAGGGAAAGUAAGCGGAAGAGCACACGUCGGACCU